AAUAUAAAUAAAUGAUUCCCACAAAAAUUUUCAGUGUCUCAGCCUCGUAAUUAGCCCCUGAACAAAAGGCAGUCCGGAAUUAGUAUUGGCCAUGCACUGGUGGGACUAAGGCCCAUCUAUGCAGAGCGGGCUGCAAAGCUUUAAUCAAACAACAAAUCCAGCAACAAUUUCAAAUUCUGAAUUAGGCCUAUCAGAUUGGUAUAAUGGAUAAUCAGGCCCUUAAAACCAACGACUCUAUUUUCUAAAGUUAAAUACAUCAAAUAAAAAAUUGUAAAUUUGUUCCAAUCAGUAGUACUAAAUGAGCAUACUUUCUUAGUUUUAAACCUAAAAGUCUCUAUUGAAGCAGAAGCUCUAAACGUGAUACUCAUAAUAACAAGAGCCAGUCAUUUCAUGUCGAAGUAGAUACACAAACUCACUUUAAACUUUACUUCUAGUUAACAUUUAAACUAUUUUUAACUUGCAAAUAAACAAAAUACCCAAAAACUGAAACUGAUCAAAACUAAGUUAAGUGACAAUAGAUGAAGUGCGUGGUUUGUGAGAUUGUUCCUGUUGCAAAUAUUCAUUUAGCAUGAGCUGAGCAUUGAUGUGAACAUAUUAAUUUCAUACAGUCCAAUUAAUACAAAAUAAGUAAUAGUCUAACUAACACUGUUGAAUUAACGUCUAAGCAUACAAAUCAGAACAGCUUCAUGUAAAUUAAAGAAUAAAAAAGAAGUUCUUCAAUAUUCCUUCUCGACAAAAACAGUCAUACACAUGUAUUCAAUCUCACAGCACUUGAGGUUUGAAAAUGUACCUGGAAUUUGAGGCAAAACAAAGGAAAACGAGCAUUCAGCAGUAUCACAUCAGUUUAGCAACAGAAAUCAGACGCUUGAGAUAAUGUUAUAGACCCAGAAACAAUAUCAACUGACAUAGGACCAAUUUCAACCAAUGAACCACCCAAAAACAGCCUGAAUACACUCGAAAUAACUCGAAAUUGAACCCAGGAACACCAGGGACUCGAAUUAGCAGCUACACUUGAAAUCAAUCUAGGAAAAACUUCAAAAUAACAGUAUUUGUUUGGCAGUUUUCUGUUUCCUUUGCUUUUGUUUUUGGCUUUUUGAAGAAACUAAGAUCUAAGCUGAAAAUUUUCUUUGAAUUCUAGGAGUUCAGAUUUGAGUAUUUGAAUUUGAAAUUCAAAUUUCAAAGGCUAAACUUCGAGAAAACUUUUUGAGGGGGAAUUUUUAGAUGCUGAAAACUUUGGUAAUUUUCAAGGGUUCCCCAAAACCUGUCAAUGAAGGCAAAAUGCGUGACUUUUAUAGGCAAACUUGAGGGUUCUCUCAGAUUUUCAGCUUUUCACCCCGAGUCCCUCUGUUAUUUUUCAUAUUUAACCAAUUAGCCUAUUAUUUUCUAGCUUGUUUCUCAAGUUACUACAUUAAAACUACUGAAAUUUAAACUAAGACCCCCCUUCUAGAAGUGCCUAGGGAGUUCAAGAUUUAUCAACAACAUUAUUCUCUAUUUUGGAAUACCUAAACUACCCUUCAGUCAAUCUAAAAUUAACAAACCAAACCUAAUUAAUCCUCCAACUAGUUAACCUUAGUUUAAACUAACCAAGGUUAGUCAAUCAAGAGUUAGAUUAAUCAGCUAUAUCCGUAAAUCUAAUGACCAAAUACACUUAUUCUAAUUAACCUUGGAUAAUUAGUGAACUAACCAAUAACAAUAAACGAACAGGUUUAAAACCAGAUUAGCAGGAACCUCUAUUGAUCAACUAACUAAAAACAAAUACAAAAUCACACCAACCAGAAAAAUCAAAGAAAACGGAACAAAAUUAAACCAAAAACUAAAAACUAAAAUAAACAGAAUCAAAAACUUUACUGACUCAACACAAACAAUCAAAAAUUUAAAACCAAGACCAAAAAUACUGGAUUAAAUUAAUAACAGAUAAACCAAAUAGAAAAGAAAGCUUACUUACGUGAAUUUGAACCAAUCGGACUCCGAUUCGAGUUUCGGAAUGAUGUGAAUGCGUGUUCUUCAACAAAAACAAACGAACACCUUAUCUCGAGACUAGACUCAAACUAUGGACUCAGGAAAUUGGGUGAAAUUCUAGGAACUCAGAUUUCUAGGGUUCUUCUGGUCUGAGAUCUAAAAUUCGAGAGGUUUUGGCAACAUUCUAAGGAUUCCGUAUAGGGAUUCGGGAGGGGGGUUAGGAGAGUAUAGGGUGUAAAUUUGGUAAGAUUUUGGUGAGUUGAUGUUUUGGUCCGGAUUUUUGAUUUGAAAUUCGAAGAAACUGGGUAAGAUUUGAGGGAAGAAAAAUUUGGAUAUGGACUGGGGAGAUGAAAACAUGGCUAUGGUGUAAGCUUGGAGAGGUUUGGAUGAUUACAGCCGCCGUGGGGCGAUUUCCGGCGUCGAUUUCAAGCGGAGCCGGCGAGGAGCGUCUCUGAGGUAAGGGGAGGUGAGAGAGAGAUGGACCAGGGGGUAGG
rnacentral:lncRNA from 1 species